rnacentral:rRNA from 1 species
GAUGAACGCUAGCGGCAGGCUUAAUACAUGCAAGUCGUGGGGCAGCAUGAGUAGCAAUACUUGAUGGCGACCGGCAAACGGGUGAGGAACACGUACACAACCUUCCUUCAAGCGGGGAAUAGCCCAGAGAAAUUUGGAUUAAUGCCCCAUAAUAUAUUUGAUAAGGCAUCUUAUUAAUAUUAAAGCUUCGGCACUUGAUGAUGGGUGUGCGGCUGAUUAGAUAGUUGGCGGGGUAACGGCCCACCAAGUCUACGAUCAGUAGCUGAUGUGAGAGCAUGAUCAGCCACACGGGCACUGAGACACGGGCCCGACUCCUACGGGAGGCAGCAGUAAGGAAUAUUGGACAAUGGACGAGAGUCUGAUCCAGCCAUGCCGCGUGAAGGAUUAAGGUCCUCUGGAUUGUAAACUUCUUUUAUAUGGGACGUAAAAAGGGCAUUCUUGUUCACUUGACGGUACCAUAUGAAUAAGC